UCCGAUACUGGCAAAACCGGCGCGAGCCGGUGACGCAAAGCUGCGGGUCCCACGGGGACAGCCGGGUUGCCGAAG
rnacentral:ncRNA from 1 species